UUUGCUGCUGUGUGGUAUUCUAUAGAGUACAUGCCCCAUCAUUUCUUUAUCCAGUCUACUGUUGAUGGGCAUUUGGGUUGAUUCCAGGUCUUAGCUAUUGUGAAUUGAGCUGCAAUAACCAUUGAAGUGCAGACAGCUUUUUUGUUUGUCAAUUUAAUUUCCUUUGGGUAAAUUCCAAGGAGUGGGAUGGCUGCGUUGUAUGGUAGGGUUAUAUUCAGGUUUCUGAGGAAUCUCCAAACUGACUUCCAUAGUGGCUUUAUCAGUUUGCAUUCCCACCAACAGUGGGUCAGUGUCCCUUUUUCCAGUGGGGUGGGUAUUGUGGUAUGAUAGGUUAAGCUGCUGCUUGAGAUGCCCACAUCCCAUAUUGGAGUGCUGGCUCGAGUCCUGGAUUCUGUGUUGCUGAUCCAGCAUCCUGCUAAUGUGCCUGGAAAGGCAGAAGGUGUCCCAAGUAGUUUGGUUCUUGCCACCCACAAAAAAGACCUGGGUAGAGUUCCUAGCUCCUGGCUUCAGUCUGGACCAGUCCAAGCUGUUAUGGCCAUUUGUGGAAUGAACCAGUGGAUGGAAGAUCUCUGCGUGUGUGUGUCACUCUACCUUUCAGAUGAGUCAAUUCACAGAGCUUUAAGGGUGCUGGAAGCAGCUUUCUCAGCUGCUUCAUAGUGGGGCUCAUCAUAAGCCCGAAGAGAUCGGCUGAUGGACCAGCAGGUAGAACUAAGUGCCUGCUGUGGGGUGAUUGAGACACACUACUCCCCCUGAAGCCUGCAGUUAAGAUCUGGGACAACUGAAAAGCUGGAAAAAGGUAUGUGGGCUCGUUUUGGACUGUGUUUUUCCCUUUGAAAAAAUAGAAGAUGAGCCCAAGUGUACUUCAGGCAAGAGAAUGCAAUGGAGCUGGGGGAUUUACAAAGACUCUGCUGAUUAAUCCAUCAUAUUCUGACAACUGAAUUCCCAGAAACCGAGUAUUAGACUUUCGCACAAAGUGACGUUUUGACUGGAAUCUUUCAAGUCUAAACAUAUGAACAGUUGGGAGGAGGACUGCCCCAUGGUGGGUCCUCAAAGAAGAGUUGCUACAGGUGAAAAGAACGUGGUCGAGCUGCUCUGUGGUUACCACUGCAUCCUCCCACCCCCAGCAUCAGCAUCAUCCCAUGCUGCUGGUGUCCAGGAGGACACAGCGAUGACAGCACGAACAGUGGUGUGGACAAGACAAACCCACAGUGCAUCAAAGUGCCACGAAAGCCCGUGCAGCACUGAGAUAAAGACCACCGUCUUGUAGCUAUUUGCCGUGAUGAGUACACUGCUAUAAAUCAGCCACGCAGGGAGAGGGUUUUUAUUGCCAUAAUUGCCAUCUGAGAUUAUUUUGCUGCCUAACUCAAGUAGAUGAGAAGAGACUAAUGUUUGUAACAGUCCUGAAACCCUACCUUAGGCAUCCAUUACUACACGAUUUUAGUUUUGAAUCAGUUCAAGCCUUAUUUCCAGUUCUGAUGUUCACAUCCCCAUAAGUAAGAGGAGGAUCAAUAGUAAAAGGAAACCAGCAAAUUGUAGGCUUUGCAAUAAAUCUAAGGUAUUACGUGGACAUAAUUUAAACAGUUGUUUUUCUUUUCCUGAAGAAUAAACACAUAAUAGGAGGGAAAAAAUGAGGCUCUAAAGGGAUUAUGCAUUCCUAAAUAUUUUAUAGCUGUGUUAAAUGCAAUGUUGUGCUUUGGUUCCACGGCUGAAUAUUUGCUGAUGUUCAUUUACUCACCAACUGCAAGCCCAAAAGACGCUAUUUGAGGUUUUUUGUGUGGUUUUAGUCUUGGCCCUUCUGUCAGUGCUUCACUGCAUGAUGGUAAAGAGCAACUCUUUGCAUGUGAGAAGACAGAUGUUGGUGAUUUAAGCAGGAAAAUGCACCACCGUGCUUUUACUCAGCUGAUACUUAAUGAUUUACCAUUUAAUGUAGUUCAUCUCUCAUAACCCUGAGUUCAAACAGAAGCAGCUGCUGUUAGGGAUGCAAUAACAUUGAACUUCCCACCAACGACCUGGGAGAGCUUCUUCUGUAGCUUUAGCUCCUGGGCUUCUCUGGCCUUUCCCCUAAGCACGACAACUGAGGGGGAGAAACAUUACUUCCCGUCAGUGGAGUCUUGGACAGAAUGUAUAAUUAUGCCAGAUAAAGAUUUUCAAAUCAAAACUCCUUAUAUGAACAUCACUCUGCAGCUGUGGAGGACCAAACAACGCACUUCGUCUCAUUAGCGAAAGAACAUGCAGGAAAUUCAGAAAACACAUGAAAAGUCAUACCUAGUUGAAAUCAAUUCAAAGGGUAGAGGUGUCCCUGCUUUCAACCCCAGAUUCUAUGACUCCCCUGUGAGAAGAGGAAUUCUGGUUUUUGUGGCCUGCCUUCGAGGAGAGAAGGAAAAAAGAAGGACAGGAGACAGUCAAAAGGAGAUUUUUGCACCUGAGGCCCUUUCAAUGUUCUUCAGUCUAAAAUACUCAGAGUACCAAAGCAUCAUACUUUGGGGUAUUAUCUUCUGAGUCCCAACAACAUGGUGGUAUAUUGCUGAAAGGAUGUACAGAGGAACAAUCCAUUCGGGGAAGUUGAGAGAAGAGAAAGGUGUCCAUUUGUGAUUUGAUUAAUGAAGAUUCGCUGUCAUUAGCACACCUGCUCUCAUCAGAAGAGACGGACUUCAUCUAAAGCAGGAACAUGAUCAGGACCUGUUUCCAACACAGUAGCACGCCUUGGUGCAGGGGUGUUUUCACUUCACAGAUGUUUGAAGUAACUUGGCACUCAGCCUCCAAACUUGGAAUUCAUUUGGCAUCCAAAUUUCUGUUUCAUAGCCAUGUGACUAUCUAAUGUGUCAUAAAUAGAAGAGAUUUCUCUGGAUUUUGGAGCCGUAUCCUGGGUCUACCCUCACUACCUAAUAUAUACCGUGUUUCAGGAUAUAGUCACAGAUUCCACAUACUUACUGCAGUCCAUUAUUUAAGACCAUGUAUUUAUCAGACUUGUAGAGCAGCUAACUGGUAUGAAUAUGUCAGCUUUUUGCGGGUUUCUUCUUUACCUCUUAUGUACAUUUACUUGUAUUUUAGUAGCAGAUACAUCAGUGAGCAUGGGGUAAAACAUACCACACAGAUACUGAAGGGGAAAGAAAAAAGGUUUGGAGUUCAGGUAAUUCACCACCUGGGACAUUCAUGAAGCCACAAUCAAUAAUAGACAGAAUAUUGGUUGAAGUUAUUAGGCGUGUGUAAGUCUGUGUGUGUGUGUGUGUAACUGCUAUAUUUUAACACAAGUCCACGGAACCAGUAUUUUUCAGACUGAUGAAAAAAUUUGACACUUCUAUCUGAUCACUGUUCCUAGUAGACCUGGAAAGGCCACUUCAAAACCGCUUAAGCCUCCACAUUAUUUCCUAUUUGAUUUAAAGAAAUAGAAAGUCAUGUAUUGGUACAAGCUGUUGCUACUUUAUUUCAUUGGCCCCUUCCACAUGCACUGAUGGGCAUCUGAGAACAGAAAAUCUAGCUGUGAUUUAGGACCCCAAAUCAUGCAGUCCAGUUUUCCUUUGGCAGAGAUAUCUGAAGCGAUCUUGU